rnacentral:misc_RNA from 1 species
AGAGUUAAAUAGUACGUGAAAUUGUUGAAAGGGAAACGAUUGAAGCCAGUCGUACUGGCGGGUAAUCAGCCUUUUGAGUGUGAUUAUGUGGAGCGUGAGGAGCUAAUCACCUUCAUCUUUGCAUAUUCGUGCACUUUGGGUGUACUUGCUCGUGUGGUAGGUUAACACAUCAAUUUUGGUCAUCAUAAAAUGGCUGGAGGAAUGUAGCUUCGAUCUCGUAUUGAAGUGUUAUAGCCUUUGGUAGAUGUGAUGAUUGGGAUUGAGGAUUGCAACGGAUACCUUCGGGCUACCUGUCUGAUCUCUGAGUGUUGCUCUGGUGCCGAAAGCUUGCUUAUGGUAUCAAAGUUGACGUUCAAUAGGUUAGAAUGGGUUAAAUUCGUUAAGGAUGUUGACGUAAUGGCUUUAAACGA